AUUGAACGCUGGCGGCAGGCCUAACACAUGCAAGUCGAGCGGCAGCACGGGUACUCGUACCUGGUGGCGAGCGGCGGACGGGUGAGUAAUGCCUAGGAAUCUGCCUGGUAGUGGGGGAUAACGCUCGGAAACGGACGCUAAUACCGCAUACGUCCUACGGGAGAAAGCAGGGGACCUUCGGGCCUUGCGCUAUCAGAUGA
rnacentral:rRNA from 1 species